rnacentral:lncRNA from 1 species
CUAGCCUAGACUCACUUGUUUCAGAUAUUUGUCUCGAAACAUAGCGACAUGAACAUGUAACUGUUUAAGUAUCCCUAGACGAUCCUGAACUAAUUAAUUCCUCAGCUGUCUGGAAAUUAAAAUUGAUUUCUUUCUACUCAUGCAUAUAUAUUUGUUUGAACAUGAUGUCUAUGUAUACACUUUAUUUAAUUAAACUAAUAUAUUUAUUUUGCAACCAAGAGGCAAACAUAUUUGUUUUGCAGCCAAGAGUCAAUCUUUGAACUAGCCUAUAGAUAUUCCAGGAGGAUUAAAGUCACACAAGUAAAACACAUGCAGUAGCAAAAAAAAAAAAACAGUAAAUAAAGAGUUCAAGUAAGAGAGGGUAGACUCCUAGAGAUGCGAUGAUAUAUUUUAUGGUAUCAGUUGCCAAAUCACAAACCCUAGUAGCACACAUUGGAGCUCCAUCGAGGUAUGCUUCUGGUCACGAAGUCUCUCCCGGUCAUGGUGUUGGAUUUGCCUCACACGGUUUCCGCCAACCAAAGACUAGUGCCAUGAGUCACGAAAUCUCACCACCACCACCUUGCUCUUUUGGUCACCUUAUUGUUGUGCACACUACAAAGCUUCUUCACAUGCAUGAGGAGAUCUCUGCAUUGCCCAUACGCAAAUACAAUAUCGCUCCACACGAAGAACGGAGGGUCGCCACCACACCUUCACCAGAAAGUCAAAAUGACCUCAAGCGCUCUAGCUCGUGAUGAUACAAGGACACAAAAACACAAUAUCUCAAAGUUCUCAAGCUUUAAGGGAUAAACCUCACAAGGACAAACUAUGGUGUCCAUCUUAACCUUGGAUCUCGCUCAAUGGAGUGUAGACCCUUUUCUAUUUUUUAGCUUUGGGGAACUCUAACACCCUCAAACAAGUGAGACAGCCUCAUAUAUAUAGCCUCAUCCCCCUCAAAAAGCCAUUGCAAAUUAACUUUUGGGGUACCCCUA